GGUUUCUGAAUGCUCCUUAAGUACCACUUUUGUGAUCAGCCCGUUUGCAGCUAGCUAGCGCUUUCCCUCGUCUUGGAUAAACGAAAACCAGCAGGUGGUAGCAGCACUUCGUGGGAAAGCCCCGGCUCAGCGCUGUAGGACCGGAACAAUAGACCCCCCAAAUCCUGUCCCCGGUCGGAGGAGAGGCUCGGGGUGGGCGGAAACAUUUUUCCUCGCGGCGCCCCCUCGGUUCCUCCAACCUUCCAGGCACCUCCCAACGCCUCAGAUCCCUGUGGACCCAGGCUUCCCAGCCCUUUGGGGAGGGUGGAGUCAGCAGCCCCAACGUUGACCAAGAUCCAGGGUCACGAAGAGGCGGAAGAGUUUAAGGCUAGAUCACAGACACUUUCAUAACCCAGAUGCGCCCCCCCCCCCCCCCGCCCCGCCACCGCUCCACUGCUGCCUACCCAUCCCCACCCCACCCCCGUACCCUCCGAGAUUUCUCAGUUUGUCUUUCCCUCCACCCCCUUCUUUUCCUUCUUUCUCUUCUUCGCAGCUCACGCCCACCUUAGUUUAAACCUGAGUAGGAACUAAAACAGCGGGUUUAGUUCCUAGAGUUGAAGCCGAAAAGCAGGG